GGGGGUAUAGCUCAGUGGUAGAGCAUUUGACUGCAGAUCAAGAGCCAAAAUAUAUAAAGACCUUGCCAAACUCAACCACAAGAAAACAAAUGACCCCA
rnacentral:tRNA from 1 species